rnacentral:rRNA from 1 species
UACGGAGGGGGCUAGCGUUGUUCGGAAUUACUGGGCGUAAAGCGCACGUAGGCGGCUUUGUAAGUUAGAGGUGAAAGCCCGGGGCUCAACUCCGGAAUUGCCUUUAAGACUGCAUCGCUAGAAUUGUGGAGAGGUAAGUGGAAUUCCGAGUGUAGAGGUGAAAUGCGUAGAUAUCAGGAGGAACACCUGUGGUGUAGACAGCUUACUGGACCAUUUCUGACGCUGAGACACGAAAGCGUGGGUAGCAAACAGG